ensembl:lncRNA
ACUUUAAUCUUUGGGAAUAAUGAUACCAGCUUCCAAGAGUUCAGGAAAUAUGCCCAUGGGCCUACAUGGGCGUGGCACAUGGCUGUAGCUCAAAAAAAAGAAAAUGUAGCUGUUGUUGAAUCAAGGGUUUAUCCUUUUUCAAAGCACUUUCAAUAGCUCAGGCCCAGAUGAUGCACAGAGAACCAACUGAGCAGCAUGUCUGGUUUGCUUAGAUGUCCUGAGGCUGCGGGAGACAGGGUCCCCCCUCGCGGGGCCGGGUCAGCCAGGGGGACGUGGCUCCAGGAGCACCAGGGCCAAAGUGAAAGGGAAGGUGACCUGGUCACAGGCCAGCGAGAGCUUUAAGGGGUCGCUGCCCGUGGACUCCCUGUGGGCAGUAGCAGAGCUAGACAAGAAGACUGGUCUUCAGAUUCCCGUGAGAGUUUCCUCUUGGGACAGAGAGUGUGACAACUUGGGCAGAGGAGGAGGAGAAGUUGUUGAGCCACUAAGUCACAUCUGACUCUUAGGACCUCAUGGACUGUAGCCUGCCAGGCUCUUCUGUUCAAGGGAUUUCCCAGGUGAGAAUACUGGAGUGGGUUGCCAUUUCCUCCUCCAGGGGAUCUUCCCGAUCCAGGGAUCGAACCUGUGUCUCCUGCCUUGACAGGCAGCUUCUUUACCACUGAACUACCAGGGAAGCCUUGAGGAGGAGAAGAGGGGACCAUAAACCCAGGAGGACCCUGCUUCAAGUGACCUCUCCGAGGAAGGGUGAGACGCAGGCCAGCUCCCGGUACACCAGGGCAAAGGCAGCCUGCGGAAGAGAUUGAAUAAAUGGCAGAAAGGAGCUGUAGAGGGAAAUAAGGCUGCCGAUAACUCAGAAGCUCGCUGUCCCGUCAAGAGGUGGGGGCUGCGGGCCUCGAGAAGAGGUAUUCAGGCGCCCACGUGGAAGGGGAGCGGGGUUGGAGUCUGCUGGUGGCCACGCCAGGUGGCAUUGGGACCCUGGAUCUGCCUGGUGACUGGUUCUCUCGGGUACUUUGGGGUGGGGAUUGGGAGAAGAGGAACUGGAGUCCUGGGGCCUUCGGGGAUAUGGUUGCAGGACCAGCAGCUGGAGAGAGUUCCGAGCCUGUGGAUCUCCACCUGCAGACGUCAGCGGGGAGAGAGAAACGCUGACUCCGCGCUGUUGGGGGGGUGGCGUCAGGUUCGACCUCUCAGAAGGGCGCUCUGGCAACGCCUAUCCGAGUCAUGGAAAUGUGCGUCCUUCUGGCCCCAUAACUCCAAGUCUGAGAAUUUCACCGAAGGAAAGAGAUUCAUCAGUGAAAUCAUAGGGUUAUUGUUCUUGCUU